GAUGAACGCUGGCGGCGUGCCUAAUACAUGCAAGUCGAGCGAACAGACGAGGAGCUUGCUCCUCUGACGUUAGCGGCGGACGGGUGAGUAACACGUGGAUAACCUACCUAUAAGACUGGGAUAACUUCGGGAAACCGGAGCUAAUACCGGAUAACAUGUUGAACCGCAUGGUUCAACAGUGAAAGACGGUCUUGCUGUCACUUAUAGAUGGAUCCGCGCCGCAUUAGCUAGUUGGUAAGGUAACGGCUUACCAAGGCAACGAUGCGUAGCCGACCUGAGAGGGUGAUCGGCCUCACUGGAACUGAGACACGGUCCAGACUCCUACGGGAGGCAGCAGUAGGGAAUCUUCCGCAAUGGGCGAAAUCCUGACGGAGCAACGCCGCGUGAGUGAAGAAGGUCUUCGGAUCGUAAAACUCUGUUAUUAGGGAAGAACAAAUGUGUAAGUAACUAUGCACGUCUUGACGGUACCUAAUCAGAAAGCCACGGCUAACUACGUG
rnacentral:rRNA from 1 species